AGUGAACGCUGGCGGCAGGCCUAAUACAUGCAAGUCGAACGGGCAGCACAACGUGGAGCGUUGCUCCAUGGGUGGCGAGUGGCGGACGGGUGAGGAAUACAGUGGGAAUCUGCCCAGUCGUGGGGGAUAACGUAUGGAAACGUACGCUAAUACCGCAUGCGCCCUUCGGGGGAAAGUCGGGGACCGCAAGGCCUGACGCGAUUGGAUGAGCCCAUGUUCGAUUAGCUAGUUGGCGGGGUAACGGCCCACCAAGGCGACGAUCGAUAGCUGGUCUGAGAGGAUGAUCAGCCACACUGGAACUGAGACACGGUCCAGACUCCUACGGGAGGCAGCAGUAGGGAAUAUUGGACAAUGGGCGCAAGCCUGAUCCAGCCAUGCCGCGUGAGUGAAGAAGGCCCUCGGGUUGUAAAGCUCUUUUGUUGGGGAAGAAAAGCAGUUGGUUAAUACCCGAUUGUUCUGACGGUACCCAAAGAAUAAGCACCAGCUAACUUCGUG
rnacentral:rRNA from 1 species